AGUGAACGCUGGCGGUAGGCCUAACACAUGCAAGUCGAACGGCAGCACAGUAAGAGCUUGCUCUUACGGGUGGCGAGUGGCGGACGGGUGAGGAAUACAUCGGAAUCUACUUUUUCGUGGGGGAUAACGUAGGGAAACUUACGCUAAUACCGCAUACGACCUACGGGUGAAAGCAGGGGAUCUUCGGACCUUGCGCGAUUGAAUGAGCCGAUGUCGGAUUAGCUAGUUGGCGGGGUAAAGGCCCACCAAGGCGACGAUCCGUAGCUGGUCUGAGAGGAUGAUCAGCCACACUGGAACUGAGACACGGUCCAGACUCCCACGGGAGGCAGCAGUGGGGAAUAUUGGACAAAGGGCGCAAGCCUGAUCCAGCCCUACCGCGUGGGUGAAGAAGGCCUUCGGGUUGUAAAGCCCUUUUGUUGGGAAAGAAAAGCAGCAGGUUAAUACCCCGCUGUUCUGACGGUACCCAAAGAAUAAGCACCGGCUAACUUCGUG
rnacentral:rRNA from 1 species